UACGGGGGGGGCAAGCGUUGUUCGGAAUUACUGGGCGUAAAGGGCUCGUAGGCGGCCAACUAAGUCGGACGUGAAAUCCCUCGGCUUAACCGGGGAACUGCGUCCGAUACUGGAUGGCUUGAGUUCGGGAGAGGGAUGCGGAAUUCCAGGUGUAGCGGUGAAAUUCGUAGAUAUUCGCAAGAACACCAGUGGCGAAGGCGGCUCACUGGCCCGAUACUGACGCUGAGGCACGAAAGCGUGGGGAGCAAACAGG
rnacentral:rRNA from 1 species